CUACGGGAUGCUGCAGUGGGGAAUAUUGGACAAUGGGGGAAACCCUGAUCCAGCAAUGCCGCGUGUGUGAAGAAGGCCUGCGGGUUGUAAAGCACUUUCGGUUGGGAGGACUGCUUCUAGCACUAAUAUUGUUGGAAGUUGACGUUACCUUCAGAAGAAGCACCGGCUAACUCCGUGCCAGCAGCCGCGGUAAUACGGAGGGUGCAAGCGUUAAUCGGAAUUACUGGGCGUAAAGCGCGCGUAGGCGGCUAGAUCAGUCGGGUGUGAAAGCCCCGGGCUUAACCUGGGAACUGCAUCCGAUACUGUCUAGCUUGAGUACAGGAGAGGAGAGUGGAAUUCCACAUGUAGCGGUGAAAUGCGUAGAUAUGUGGAGGAACACCAAUGGCGAAGGCGGCUCUCUGGCCUGAUACUGACGCUGAGACGCGAAAGCGUGGGGAGCAAACAGGAUUAGAUACCCCGGUAGUC
rnacentral:rRNA from 1 species